rnacentral:tRNA from 1 species
GCCUGGGUGGCUCAGUCGGUUGAGCGUCUGACUUCAGCUCAGGUCACGAUCUCACAGUUCGUGAGUUCGAGCCCCACAUCAGGCU